UAUUAUAAAAACGAGCCACUAAACUUAAGGCAGGCAAAUUUGCUGUUAGAGAGACAGAGAAGAUAACCGAGCUUCACACACCUGCUGAGAACAUCAAGAUGAAUCGUCUGUUUCUGGUCCUGGGCUUCGUCCUGAUCAUGGCGCUCUACUCACACGCUAACCAAGCUACAAUAGUUAUUGGAGAAGUCGAGCCUUGCUGUUUCGACUUCUUCCUUGGAAAAAUUCCUCCCAAGCAAAUCCUGCAGAUUAAACCGACAGGCUCACACUGUCCACAGAAAGGCUGCAUUGUUACUACUCCUAGAUUUAGCAAUCUUUGUGUUCGUGAAGUCGACUUCAAAAACUGCAAACCUUAAGGCUUCAACUAAGAUCGCACUGCAACACACACACACCAUUUAUUAUGAUGCUUAAUGUUGUUAUUGUUGCUUAAUGCAGUGCAGAUUCAAAUAAAGCUAUCAUUGCA